UUCCAACUAGCGUCCGCUGGUACAACCCACGUGCCCACACCUCACCCUUCUCCUUUUCUCUUUCGAGUUUCCAACGCAACAACAGCCACAGGAGUUGUUGAAAAUAACAAACAAACAUUUACUGUUGUUACCCUCCUACCUUCUCAGACGCACGCCACAACAACCACCUUCUCAGACACAACACUAACAAACGUUUCUUUGCAACACUCUUCAGUUUCAGUUUUCCCAUGAUACAAUUAUAGCUACAUCAAACCAAAAGCCUAGUGUCGAAUUAUUGACUUCAAAUUUUAAAUCCACUUUGUCCCAUCCCACCUGGACUUCCACCUC
rnacentral:lncRNA from 1 species